rnacentral:sRNA from 1 species
AAUAUAAUAACAGUGCUUCGUUGAUCUCUUCAUCACCCUUGAAGAUAAUCCUUUUAUGACUCUGUUUUGUUAUUUAAAUUUUUUUCUCAUCUCAUACCAGUCAACUUCUGUAGGAUAUUCAGUUUGAACUAACCCUUCUAUUGCUCUCUUCUUGUGGUCAAAAGUUCUCUUCAGCUUGCUGAGUUGAGAAGUAUACUCUUGGUG